GUCCAUGCCGUAAACGAUGAUUACUAGGUGUGGGAGGAUUGACCCCUUCCGUGCCGCAGUUAACACAAUAAGUAAUCCACCUGGGGAGUACGAUCGCAAGAUUGAAACUCAAAGGAAUUGACGGGGGCCCGCACAAGCAGUGGAGUAUGUGGUUUAAUUCGAAGCAACGCGAAGAACCUUACCAGGUCUUGACAUAGAAUGCAUACCAUAGAGAUAUGGGAAGCACUUCGGGGCAUUCAUACAGGUGGUGCAUGGUUGUCGU
rnacentral:rRNA from 1 species